GCCGAGCUGGACAAGGAGAUGCUCGCCCAGUACGA
rnacentral:sRNA from 1 species